GUGGGGAAUCUUGCGCAAUGGGCGAAAGCCUGACGCAGCCAUGCCGCGUGAAUGAUGAAGGUCUUAGGAUUGUAAAAUUCUUUCACCGGGGACGAUAAUGACGGUACCCGGAGAAGAAGCUCCGGCUAACUUCGUGCCAGCAGCCGCGGUAAUACGAAGGGGGCUAGCGUUGCUCGGAAUUACUGGGCGUAAAGGGCGCGUAGGCGGACAGCUUAGUCAGAGGUGAAAGCCCAGGGCUCAACCUUGGCGUUGCCUUUGAUACUGGCUGGCUUGAGUUUGGGAGAGGUGAGGGGAACUCCGAGUGUAGAGGUGAAAUUCGUAGAUAUUCGGAAGAACACCAGUGGCGAAGGCGACUCACUGGCCCAAUACUGACGCUGAGGCGCGAAAGCGUGGGGAGCAAACAGGAUUAGAUACCCGGGUAGUCC
rnacentral:rRNA from 1 species